rnacentral:lncRNA from 1 species
CUAUUUUCACAAAUUCUAUAGUAAAGUAAAAAUGUGUUAUAUAUAUGGGCAUUGAUGUGAACAUUUGUAAAAACUUAUUAGAAAUCACGGUAUCUAGAUUACGAGUUAUCUCGUGGAAAAAAAAAUAAAGCUUAAAAAACUUACUAUAAUAUGACUCGAGUAACUUAAACAAAAUCCAUCAACUCUGCUAAUUUUGGUAACUCCAUUUCGUAGGACUUGACUUUGC